GAGUUUGAUCCUGGCUCAGGGUGAACGCUGGCGGCGUGCUUAAGACAUGCAAGUCGAACGGUCUUUUCGGAGACAGUGGCGCACGGGUGAGUAACACGUAACUGACCUGCCCCAAAGUCGCGGAUAACUGGGUGAAAGUCCAGCUAAUACGUGAUGUGCUGUCAGAUUUUGUUCUGCCAGUAAAGGUUUACUGCUUUGGGAUGGGGUUGCGUUCCAUCAGCUGGUUGGUGGGGUAAAGGCCCACCAAGGCGACGACGGAUAGCCGGCCUGAGAGGGUGGCCGGCCACAGGGGCACUGAGACACGGGUCCCACUCCUACGGGAGGCAGCAGA
rnacentral:rRNA from 1 species